UUCCUAUCUGGGAUACAGCUCUACGCAGGAUGGGAGGAGAAGUCCAUUCCAAAGGCUUUCUUCAUCGCAACUUGAAAGGCGGAUAAAUUCACAGUAGGAUUGGUAAAGAUAUUACCCACCAGAAUAAGGCGACAAUCCUUCAGUUUAGCCGACGCAGGGAUGUCAUCCCAAACCUCCAACUCUUGUUCUGAGCAUAAUCGCCCCAGCCGAUGGCACAAGGAAGCAAUUCUGGAGAUCGGGAACAUGCAAACUAGGAAUGCUGGUAAUUGAGAGAGAUAGAAGAAAACAGUGGAACCGGGAAGGAGAUAAUGAAA